UCUUACCUGUUCACAUAGAUCUUUUCCUAUUGUGCAUCAGAAGCUGUCAGAUUUAAGAUCAGUAUUUAUGGUUGGCGUUAGUUAUUCAUAAUUGGCACUUGUGAUAUGCCAAUAUACCUUGGCUAUGCAUUAGGGGUCCAGUAGUCCACUACAGGGUUUGAUCAUGCCAUAUACCGUGGCUAUGUAUUUGUUGUUAAUGUUGUUAAGCUGAUAGAGAUUUUUCUUGCAAAUUUACAUUGCAUGCAAAAUUGAGUCCUGUAUGUAAAAUUUAAGUAUGUCAAUAGCAUACAGAGAUUUGUCUCCUUUUUGUGGUUGAAUUUUAGGCUCUUGUUCUAACUCUGUUGAUAUUUUUGCAUGGCUUGGUUCUGAUUUCAGGGUCUGAAAAGUGUUUCAAGCAAUAUGCUUAAGAUAUUGGUCAAUCCUGAACUGAAUUUGGUGUGACAUCUUCUUCAAAGAACUUCCAACUUCUGUGACUCAAACAGGUUGGAGGAUUCUCCUUAUUUUACUCGUGGCACCUGACUUGACUGAAGAUUCGAGUAAAAGUUGGCAUCAAAAGAUAUACAAUUGUGGGUCGAAAUCUGGCAUCAUAACUGGUAUUUGUUUGGAGGUCUUUCACUAUGGGAUAGAAGAAGAAGAUGGAAAUAGGAAGAAGAUGAAUGAAAAUUGAGGAAAUACAGGCACGUGAGUUAAAUGCGAGAGUCAAUCAUAAAAUGUUUGGUCAACGCCAGAAAAUGGAAUAUGGAGUGCUUAUAUUGUCCUGACUUGCGGCGUAUGCUUGAUACCUGCACAGCUUCAUUAGAGUGCCACAAUGUAUCAGGGACUUCUGCAAGGUACUAUAAAUUUAGUAACUUUUUGCUUAUAAUCAUCUACCAAAGCUCAUUUAUCUGACUCUGAUUAAGUCGGAGUUGGUGCUGGCAUUAAGAGGUUCUGGUGGAAAAUGAAAUUUACUUCAUCCUUAAGAAUGUAAUAAAUAAACAUUAACAAAAGUUAGAGCAACAUUAUGUGAGGGGUAGGUGUUAUACUGUUGUAUUGUUAUUAUCAACAUAAUGUAAUUUGGUUAGAUAAGUUUAUAUUAUCAAUUGAUAUAUACUUGGAGAGUACAACAGCUGUUGGCUUGUGGGAUACAAACUUCCACUUUUUUUUUUAAUGGAAGCUCCAGUUAAGGAACUCCCUCCAAAAAUAAACGUAUGUCUGUGAAAGAAUAGUUCGCUCUGUGCUCACUGCAUGACUGUGUGAAGAUAAUUGCAACAGGUUUUGUUAUUUAUACCGUAAAUUCCUAGCUUAAAUCUUCUUUCUUGACUUGAUGUGGGGUGGUAGUGCUGGUCCUUUACAUGGUUGGUGUCAUAUGGGACUGAGACAAGAUUUCAUUUUUUGGCUAUUGCUUCCUCAGUAUGUCUGUCUUUUGGUUUUACAUUUGAGUUUCAGUUAAAUAUGAAUCUGAAAUACCGUUUGGCCAUGAGGACUAAAAGUAAAAGAUGGUUGAUGUACAGAUUUCUCUGGUCCUCUGGAUAGUAGUUGUAAAUUCUACUUGACUGUCAGUUUGUUCAUUUUGUGUUGAAAAUAUUGAUACACUGGAGGUUCAAGAUGAUGUAUGUGUGAGAAACAAACUGCCAGAGUUUUCAUUCUGUGUUGAAAAUAUUGACAUCCUGGAGGUUCAAGAUGCUGUAAUUUAACAAGUGAUCCCCAUUUAUCGUAUGUAAGGGAAGAAACAUAACAUCAUUUUACAGCAUUGGUGUUAAUUUGCUGGGACUGUAAGAUUUUCUAUGGUUGGAUUCUUUGGCUUAAGUUUUAACUGCAAUUCAUAUACCUUUAUUCUAAAAACCGUCAAUCUACCAUUGGCUUCAGUUUUAGCCAGAAUUCCCUAUACCUUUAUUCAAAAAUCCGUCAAUCUAGUAUGACACUUAAUGCUAAUUACUCUGUGAAGCUUAUUCUACUUAUGUUGUUCUGUUUUAAUUCAAUUUUGCUUCUUCCAAUAUUCAAUGUUGCUUUAUUUUUUCUUUAAAUACAAACUGAAAUGCGGUUCUUCAUUGACUUUCCUUUUGUUGAACACUUGAACCCUUGCCAAACAGAUGGUAGAUUUUGAUUAAUUCUUACUAGGUCAUGAUUGUGUACAAAUGUACACAUGCCAUUUAAAUUCACUUGGAAUUAAUUAUUUUCGAGGAGUGUUACUGCUUUAUUUCACCAUUUCCAUUAUUUCUAACGAGUUAACUGUAAAUUGUACAGGGGCCGCGCGAACGCAGGCCCCCACUAUCACAAAUUAUGACGUACACUCUUCCUCUUGGGAAGAUGUUAGGCAGGCACCCCUCCGAAUGUGCAAUGGAGGCCACCAGCCUAGGCCAUGGGCCUUCUUGAUCGCCCAUUGACCCCGUCCAGGGUGCACCAAGCAGGAUUGUGUCAACUAAAUAAAACCCAAGGCUCAUGAUUUUGCUCUCUUAAUUGAAAUCCUUCGCCGCUCUUGAAAUGAGGAAUAGAGGAUGACAAUGACGAAGAUGUGAAAAAGCUGAGUGAGAUUGUGUUUAAAUGGUUCGGUCGUAUGAAGUGCUUAAAUUGUCAUGACUUACAAAAUUAUACUGUAUAUGGUUUGCACAAGGAUCUGUAGCCCUCUGAACUCUUCUUGAAUGCUAGGAUGCCUCAGACUACAGCAAGGUAUCAAUAAAACUACUCCCUUCUGUUGCUCCAUAUGCGUAGGGUUAUCUUAAUUUUUGGUCGAACGAAAUUAAUGAAAGAACAAUGGUGGUAUUAAAUAUAGUGGUUGUGAGAAUAAAGUUGGGGGUUCUCUAAACCAACAAUAAUAUGGGACAAACAUAGACGGUAAAGGGAGUAAUAUGUUCAAUACAACAAAAGCUAGGUACUCUGUUAUGUAAUUGAAACUCAAAUUGGCAUAUCCUCUAGUCUUCUAUACAGUUAGUUGGAAAUUUGACAAAAAAUUUCACUUGGUUUAUUGGAAGUUCCUGAUAAGGAACUCCCUCCAAAAAUAAACGUAUGCCACUACAUGCAGCGAGCACACGGUAUUCUUUAGUAAAAGGCGAAAGAAUAGUUCGCUCUGUGCUCACUGCAUGGCUGCGUAAUUAGUAUACAGUCAGGCUUUGUUAUUUAUACCCUGCAUUCCUAGAUUGGAAAUUCUUUCUUGACUAAUGUGGGACUUUUUCAUCUUUUUGUCGUACCUUGUUUGAAGUAUGGAGUAGAAUCCCACCAAACAAGAGAUGUCUCUGCUUGCUGUCUCAGGGCAGAUAAUUCUACUGUGACAAUGUCAUUUGUUGCCUGUUUCAUGUGUCUGAAUUUCUUAAUUGUACAUUUGAAAAGUUUCUGCUGAAUAUAUGAAUAAUUUUACAGCAUUAGUUAUGCUAGACUUCAACCAUUCUCGAAUGACUGAGUUGUCCCAUCUUUGUGUUGAAAUAACUGAAACCAGAACCUAGAGCUUAAAAAAAAAAAGAAAAGAAAAGAAAAAUAAAUAGCAGUUAACCUCCGACUACAGUACAUGUGAGAAAUGUAUCGUUUGCAAUAUUGCUGUAGUUUAAUGAACCCUGAUAAAGUAAGCACUUGUAAAUCCAAAAGCAAAAAUAUGGAAGUGAAGAGAGAGAACAGUUAAUGUAUUGAUUUCAUGUAUGUGACUUAUAUACACUAUAAAUUCAAAACUGUAUUCUUGUUAUAUAUAUUGAUUUCAUGUUGCUUAAUAUUGACAUCAGCUCAGGUUGUUUCUUGUGCUCUUUAUAAUUUAAUCAGAGUUUAUGGUAUGGCACUGAAUACAAGUACACUCUUCCUCUUUGGGAAGAUGUUAGGUAAGCAUCCCUCACAAAGUGCAAUGGAGGCUACCUUCCUAGGCCAUGGAAAUUUUUUAUCACCCAUCAACCCCGACCAGGUAAGUAUGUUUCUCAGUCCUCCAUGGUUUCUUUAUAUAUCUAUGUUGUCCUUCUUAAUUUCGGUAGUCCGAUGAUGCGGGACAAUCACUAAAUAUCCUAUAAGGCUAUAAUAUAGCUGAAAAUCGAGUGUCAAAUAAGGUCAACAUGUAAUCAAAAGAUUAUAAGGCACAUUUUUGUUUUUGUUGUCACUGCUAAUGCAUUGACUCUAAUUUGCCAAAGUCAGUGAUUUUCAUGAAUUUUCUUAUUUUGUAUCAUCGUGAAUGACUGGAACAGUGGAACAUCUAUUUAUGCAAGUGAAGUGAAAGGCAACUGGUGUUGAGGAACUAAGGAGGGUGUAUUGUCUUUGUAAUUUAACACUAAUAGUGUUGAAUGAAUUUAGAAAUUAGUGUGAUUUUGGCUUUAAUAGUGUUGAAUGAAUUUCCAUUUGAUUUUUUGAAUUCAUUGGAAGUCGGAAUACUGAAGAAGCUAAAGGAAAGGAGAUAGAGGAAAAGGGGCCUUUUUCUUCUUUUAGAAUUUGGAGUGUGUGCUCAGUUUGUAGGGAUUCCAUUUAGCAACCAUGUAUAAAAUAGGUUAGACGAACUACCUACUUAUGGUGAAAUGUUUAGCAACUAGUGGAAGGUCAUUUAGCUUUCUAAUCCUAAAUGAUCUAGGAUUUAGGUAGUAACGUAGUAUGUAGUUUUAUAACUUAAGUUAUAAGUAGGAGUUUAUAGGGUCAUUGUAAAGAUUGUCCGUGGUUCUAUGCACAACCAACUGUGUAGGAAUUCCAGUUUUUGGCAAGUACCUCACUUGUGUGGCGUAUUACUUCUAAGCAAUAUUGUGUGGUUUUGAGCCCUUGUAAAACCUUUUUUUUUUUUUUUUUUUUGCUUUGUCAGGGUUUUGAGAUUGUGUGUUUUGUUAACCUGGAAAGAACUUGAGUUGGAUGAUAAUUAGUAUAUCCCUUGAAAUCAAAGUCAUCAUUAUCAUAUUUGAAGGCAUUUUUAGAGUUUGUGCAAUUGUAAAAGGUAACAGAUUUGAGCUAGCUUCUUGCAUCUAAUCCAAAUGUAGAUAUUGUAAUUGGGUUUUUUAAGAGAGCACGGAUCAUUCUAUUUAUAACCUCAUUGUUAUUCAUUGAGCUCAGCUCUUGCCUUCCAUACUGCUGGCCUUUCUGAGAAUAGAAGUAUUGGUGUAUGUAAGGGAGAAAAGUUUGUGAUUACAUAUUACAUUUUGGGUUGCAGACUUGCAUAUCUAAGGACUGAUGUGAAGAUUAGCAAGUCUUCAACUCCUUGACACUUGUUAACUGGUGUUUAUGCUACUGCUGAAGUGAAGGCGUCAUUUCUUACCACAGGCUGGGGCUAAUACAUAAUGUCCAAGCUUUUUUAAAGAGAAGGAAUUUCUUUGGUAUAUGCCUUGUAGGUUGUAGCCUUAUGCUUGAGGACUCGUAAGGGCUAAACUGUUUGUAGUUGCGAUGAGCUGAAUGACUUCAGGGGUUGAUAUUAUUCUCAUCUAUGCCUGUGGAUGUAGCUAAUGCAUAUUGCAGUGGAUCAUGUAAAAAUUGUGUGCCAUUGUGCUCCUAUGGCUUUAUCACAUCAGCUAUAACAGUUACCCUUAGCUUUGUAAUUAUAGAAUAUAGUGGUUUUGAGUAUUUUGUUUAAAGUAAUGCUUGUCUACUUAAGUAGAUCACGAGCAAGUGCCUGACUAUAGAUCUUUUAUUUGGCUGGUGCUUAGUUUCAGUAUACCUUUGCUUUUAUCAUUUUACUUCAAGAAAGUAAAGCGUGCUUGUAAAAUCUUACCUGUUCACAUAGAUCUUUUCCUAUUGUGCAUCAGAAGCUGUCAGAUUUAAGAUCAGUAUUUAUGGUUGGCGUUAGUUAUUCAUAAUUGGCACUUGUGAUAUGCCAAUAUACCUUGGCUAUGCAUUAGGGGUCCAGUAGUCCACUACAGGGUUUGAUCAUGCCAUAUACCGUGGCUAUGUAUUUGUUGUUAAUGUUGUUAAGCUGAUAGAGAUUUUUCUUGCAAAUUUACAUUGCAUGCAAAAUUGAGUCCUGUAUGUAAAAUUUAAGUAUGUCAAUAGCAUACAGAGAUUUGUCUCCUUUUUGUGGUUGAAUUUUAGGCUCUUGUUCUAACUCUGUUGAUAUUUUUGCAUGGCUUGGUUCUGAUUUCAGGGUCUGAAAAGUGUUUCAAGCAAUAUGCUUAAGAUAUUGGUCAAUCCUGAACUGAAUUUGGUGUGACAUCUUCUUCAAAGAACUUCCAACUUCUGUGACUCAAACAGGUUGGAGGAUUCUCCUUAUUUUACUCGUGGCACCUGACUUGACUGAAGAUUCGAGUAAAAGUUGGCAUCAAAAGAUAUACAAUUGUGGGUCGAAAUCUGGCAUCAUAACUGGUAUUUGUUUGGAGGUCUUUCACUAUGGGAUAGAAGAAGAAGAUGGAAAUAGGAAGAAGAUGAAUGAAAAUUGAGGAAAUACAGGCACGUGAGUUAAAUGCGAGAGUCAAUCAUAAAAUGUUUGGUCAACGCCAGAAAAUGGAAUAUGGAGUGCUUAUAUUGUCCUGACUUGCGGCGUAUGCUUGAUACCUGCACAGCUUCAUUAGAGUGCCACAAUGUAUCAGGGACUUCUGCAAGGUACUAUAAAUUUAGUAACUUUUUGCUUAUAAUCAUCUACCAAAGCUCAUUUAUCUGACUCUGAUUAAGUCGGAGUUGGUGCUGGCAUUAAGAGGUUCUGGUGGAAAAUGAAAUUUACUUCAUCCUUAAGAAUGUAAUAAAUAAACAUUAACAAAAGUUAGAGCAACAUUAUGUGAGGGGUAGGUGUUAUACUGUUGUAUUGUUAUUAUCAACAUAAUGUAAUUUGGUUAGAUAAGUUUAUAUUAUCAAUUGAUAUAUACUUGGAGAGUACAACAGCUGUUGGCUUGUGGGAUACAAACUUCCACUUUUUUUUUUAAUGGAAGCUCCAGUUAAGGAACUCCCUCCAAAAAUAAACGUAUGUCUGUGAAAGAAUAGUUCGCUCUGUGCUCACUGCAUGACUGUGUGAAGAUAAUUGCAACAGGUUUUGUUAUUUAUACCGUAAAUUCCUAGCUUAAAUCUUCUUUCUUGACUUGAUGUGGGGUGGUAGUGCUGGUCCUUUACAUGGUUGGUGUCAUAUGGGACUGAGACAAGAUUUCAUUUUUUGGCUAUUGCUUCCUCAGUAUGUCUGUCUUUUGGUUUUACAUUUGAGUUUCAGUUAAAUAUGAAUCUGAAAUACCGUUUGGCCAUGAGGACUAAAAGUAAAAGAUGGUUGAUGUACAGAUUUCUCUGGUCCUCUGGAUAGUAGUUGUAAAUUCUACUUGACUGUCAGUUUGUUCAUUUUGUGUUGAAAAUAUUGAUACACUGGAGGUUCAAGAUGAUGUAUGUGUGAGAAACAAACUGCCAGAGUUUUCAUUCUGUGUUGAAAAUAUUGACAUCCUGGAGGUUCAAGAUGCUGUAAUUUAACAAGUGAUCCCCAUUUAUCGUAUGUAAGGGAAGAAACAUAACAUCAUUUUACAGCAUUGGUGUUAAUUUGCUGGGACUGUAAGAUUUUCUAUGGUUGGAUUCUUUGGCUUAAGUUUUAACUGCAAUUCAUAUACCUUUAUUCUAAAAACCGUCAAUCUACCAUUGGCUUCAGUUUUAGCCAGAAUUCCCUAUACCUUUAUUCAAAAAUCCGUCAAUCUAGUAUGACACUUAAUGCUAAUUACUCUGUGAAGCUUAUUCUACUUAUGUUGUUCUGUUUUAAUUCAAUUUUGCUUCUUCCAAUAUUCAAUGUUGCUUUAUUUUUUCUUUAAAUACAAACUGAAAUGCGGUUCUUCAUUGACUUUCCUUUUGUUGAACACUUGAACCCUUGCCAAACAGAUGGUAGAUUUUGAUUAAUUCUUACUAGGUCAUGAUUGUGUACAAAUGUACACAUGCCAUUUAAAUUCACUUGGAAUUAAUUAUUUUCGAGGAGUGUUACUGCUUUAUUUCACCAUUUCCAUUAUUUCUAACGAGUUAACUGUAAAUUGUACAGGGGCCGCGCGAACGCAGGCCCCCACUAUCACAAAUUAUGACGUACACUCUUCCUCUUGGGAAGAUGUUAGGCAGGCACCCCUCCGAAUGUGCAAUGGAGGCCACCAGCCUAGGCCAUGGGCCUUCUUGAUCGCCCAUUGACCCCGUCCAGGUAAGUAAUUUGUUUGGUCAUACUCAGUUUUGUUUUAUAUUCAUCUCUAAUGAACUCCCCUUGUUAUUUAGUUGAUGUGGGACAAUAUCCAACAUUGCAAAACUGAUUUUAAUCUUGUAUAUGUAGUGAAUGAAAUUAUAAAUUAUUGGUUCAGUAUGCAUAUUAGUAUCAAUUUUACAUAUCAUGUACUGAAUACUGAAGAUGGAAUAUUAGAACAAGCAAUAUAUCAUAUUGACCAAUCUGUGAAUAGUAAAAAAAAAAACUGCACCAAUUCAUGCUUGGAGGUUAUAUGUGCCCUAUGAAAUAUUGGAAAAAAAUUAGAUUUAGAUGACUGAAAUGCAUUGACGUGUAUUUAAAUCAGUUAUCAAUCUUAUUCGGAUAUGCCCCUGUAUUUAUGUGAAGACAUGGCUUUAAGGAUGAGGGGUAGUGUAAACUGCAUGUAGAUGAUUUCUUUGUAUCUAUCUUGCUGGUGAGUAACGGUAAUUUUAUUUGAAGGGGAAGGUUUAAUAUUGCAUUUGACCUCAGACCUAUUAAUGGAUAUUAGGAUCAAAAGACUUAUAUGUUAUAUCUUAUGCAUUUGAUCUCUACCUCAUAACUUUGCACGCCAACCCUUGCAUGAUCUUUUAUACAAGUAAUUACUAAUUAUACUGACCAAUAGUGCUUGAAUUCUUUUGUUGGUGAA